CAGGAAAUAGUUUAAGUAGAAUGUCAGCUUUGGGU
rnacentral:tRNA from 1 species